rnacentral:rRNA from 1 species
GAUCAGUGGCUCGAGGACGACGCUGGCGGCGUGCUUAACACAUGCAAGUCGAACGGUAAGGCCCUUCGGGGUACACGAGUGGCGAACGGGUGAGUAACACGUGGGUGAUCUGCCCUGCACUUCGGGAUAAGCCUGGGAAACUGGGUCUAAUACCGGAUAGGACCAUGGACUUCACGGUUUGUGGUGGAAAGCUUUUGCGGUGUGGGAUGGGCCCGCGGCCUAUCAGCUUGUUGGUGGGGUAAUGGCCUACCAAGGCGACGACGGGUAGCCGGCCUGAGAGGGUGUCCGGCCACACUGGGACUGAGAUACGGCCCAGACUCCUACGGGAGGCAGCAGUGGGGAAUAUUGCACAAUGGGCGCAAGCCUGAUGCAGCGACGCCGCGUGAGGGAUGACGGCCUUCGGGUUGUAAACCUCUUUCAAUAGGGACGAAGCGCAAGUGACGGUACCUAUAGAAGAAGCACCGGCCAACUACGUG